rnacentral:lncRNA from 1 species
AUUGAUUGUAUUGCAUUGAGCAUCUCAGCCGGUAUAUAUUGAGUACAAGACUUGAGGAGCAAGACUCCUCCAGAUACAUAUAGCAGUCUACGAUACAUAUAUCUAUAACUAUCAAAUAUACUCUGAUACGUUGUGCCAGUCCGAGGUCAAAGAGGACUCAAAAUUUCAAAACUGAAGGCGUUGGCCGUUGGGCAUUUCACGAUUAAGCAGCGAAGUUUUGGCUGCGCGAUGUUGUUACGCUUUCUACUGGCUACCGCAGCCGGAGCUCGUUCACUACUUAUCCAAGAACCAGCGAAACACACAUUGCUUGUUAAUUUCGAAGCCGGAAGUUCGAACUAUCUGACAGCACUUUGCACGGCAACACAUUUUUUUCUUGUAAACUGCUCUCUUGUACGAAAAAUUGGAUGUCGCUACAAUGGAAUGGCAUCAAAUAGGCCAUUUGAUUAGAUGGAGCAAACAUGGCUAACGGGAGACCUUCAGACGUGGUGGCAGACGGGAGGUAUUAGAGGGCUCUUGGACAGCACCGUGGGCAAAGCUCCUGUGGCUCAGAGGCCCCCGAGCAAGUAGCAGCGGAGCGCCCUCGCGAGACCGGCGCCGGUGGCCGCGAGCCUGGGGAACUGCCCGGCGACGAGCGACAGCAUCGCGAGCCCCGCGCCGAGCAGCCAGAGCGCGAAGCCGGCGAGCACGUGCUCGGGGUUGCAGCGGGCGACGCGGCGCCACGUGAGCACGAGCGCGCCGAGCAUCAUCAAGGCGCGACUGGAGUCGCGCAGCUGCCGCGGCACGCCGCCGCCCCGGCGCCGGCGCCGGCGCCGGUCGCCCAUCCACGCCAGCAGGAGGUUCUCGCCGCCGCCGCCGUCGUUGGCGCCGCGGGGAUAGCCGCGCAUCUCCGGCGGCGCAGCCAUUCGGUCUCCCGGCGCUGCAGUGCAGGUGCGCAGCGUGUCAGUGUCAGUCUGGGGGCUCGGUGCUUCGGC